CCUGAAUUUUUAUCCUUAAAACUUGUGAUACCACUAGCACGUGCAGUAGUUCCACACGCUAGCUGCCUAUUAGCUCAGUGGCAGCACUCGCUCAUGUUUCCCCUGCUCUGAAUAUAAACCCCUGCCCAAUUCUGAGAAGUACCACCUGCCUGCACAAGAGUGUGUUUAUGGGGUAUUCAUGUUUGGAUCACUGUAGCUGGACAAUCUUUCUUGGCUUUUGAGCUGUUUUGCUCUAGGGGCUCCUGCUUGUGCCUCCUGAUUAGUGACCAGCUGUGACUCCACCACUUCCUUGCCAAGAAAUCUGCACUUGAAGCCCUCUGAGAAGAUAUGUCCUCAGCUCUCCCAGCACUGAGCCAUGCAAUUGAAAGGAUACAACACCAACCCCAAAUCAGGAUUCUACAGACUAAGGAUCUGUGCCCCUGACCUUUUUGGAGGCCCAACCUGCUUGUCAGUGCUCUGGCUCAAGAAGCUGCAGCCUGCCAUACCCACCUGCUGGCCUCUUGGCAAGGAGGAAAGUGUGACGUGUGCCUUGCUGAGCAAAGCAAAAUGACAUUGCUGCCUAUCCCAGCCAGUUGUCAGCAUGUCCAGUGCUAAUUGUGUCAUUGCUGCACUACUGCCGUUUCUGCAAAGAUAAGGAAGAAACACUUUUCUUGCAGUAGAGGCAAUGUAAGCAGUGUCUGAGGUUGAUAAGCGACAUGGCAUGGCCUAGGUGCUUAAUACAAGACAGAGGCUGACCAUGUGGGCCAGAAGCAAGCGCAGCCUGGCAUGCUCUCCUGUUGUGGGACAAAAGACUGACUUGGGUCUGUUCUCCUUUGCCUUUCUGAAAGAGGCCAUGGCAAGUUCCUUUGCUGUGCUGCUAGGUUAAUAAGAAGACAACCAGUUUUUUUCAAGCAAUUAGCCAAGAAUUUACAAAAGCUCUGUUGAGAAUCACCAUGCUGUGCAGGUUUCCUAUAGCUUCUACUUUGUCCCAGAGCACCAUUCCAGUAGGGGGGGGGGGAGGGGGGGGGAGGGAAAUUCAAUUAAUUAUACUGUUGUCAUGUUCAAUUUUUAUUAUCUUUCGAUGUGUCAAAGUUGUUGAUAGUAAACAAGAAAUGGAAUCAGCUUCAUUUUGACCUAAGACUUACAGGAGCAUCUUUCCUUACUCAAAGGGUCAAUUAAUGGGAACAGAAACAAAUCAGUGACCCUUCAGUCCCAUUAGAAAUGAUGUCAAUUGGAAUGAGUCUUUGACCACUUAAUCUGUAAACUGCAACUAGCUUCUAAACCCCCCUCUUUUCUCAAGGACGUCCCUGAGUUGGUCGAACUACUCAGAGCAAAGAUUUGGUUAAGGCAGUGUUAAAAUAAAAGCACAAGCUGGAGAUCUGCUUCCAGCUCAUCAUAUGCACCUGGGAAUUUCAGAACAUAUUUGGCUUCAUCAGACUACCCAGCCAAUUAGUUGUUAAGUGACAGCGGUCGUGCAUUAGAAAAGGGAGUUGAAUGGCAGUGAACUGCGAGAGCUGGAAACCCACAGUAUCUGAAGAUAGAUGAAGUCCUGUCACUGCCACUAUUACUUGUCACAGGUGACUAAAAGGCAGUGGAGUUCAGCUUGCCAGGAUGAUGACUUUAUUAAAGUUUUUUCACCUUUAUUUCAAAUUCUUUUAGACAAGUCUAGGAAUUUUGCCUCUUAAGACACGGAGGGGUUACCUUCAGUUUGGGAAAAGGAUGUAAAACAUUCAAAAAUAAAUACACAGAUAAGUAAAGAAGUAUUUGUGUGCAUAUGCGACUAUAUUCAUGCCUGAGCUAAAACUGUACAAGUUGGAAAUUGUUUAAUUCAUAUCAAGUAAGGAUAAGUAUAUAGCUAAAUAACUUUGGACCUGAGUAAAGGGAGAAGCUUCCAAAAAACCCAAUACGUCUGCAUGUUUUACCAAAAACCUUAUGAAAUCUACUUUUUUAUUAUUAUAUUUAGUGAAAGUCUUGAAUAUGUGCAGUGUCAUGAUCCAACAGAUGCUAGUUACUGCCUGCAGUUUCACAAUCCAUUCACCAUAAAACACGCCUUUUAUAACAGAAAAAUUUCACUGAAUUACUUAAUCAAUACCACUUGGUGUCAGAUUAUAUGUAACAGAAAUAAUCUCUUGUUUAAGGAUUUCUCUCCAAAUAGCAACUCAGUGAGAACAGGGGCUCCUUAGCAUCUCAGCGCUCAUUCAUGUCCACUUGGAAUACUAGAUGCAUGGUUGAGAAAUCUGCAAGAAAUUAAGGAAGUUUGGAUUUGCCUAGUAAUACUUUGACUUGGUAGCAUAACUGCUACCAAGACUUGAAAUAAUAAAUCUGUGAUGGAAGCUGUGUAGGGCACACCUGGCAUGAUGGAUGGUGAUAGUCAUACUUUUGUUGUCAGCUGCGGGCACCAUGCGUUAUGCCAAAUAUUUUCCCCAUUCCCAAGGCAUCCAAGGAACCCAGCUGGAAAAUAAGUCUGACUUCUCAGUGAUCUUACUCUGUUCCCACUAUUUCAGUCUUAAUGCAUAAAACUGUCUCCUGGACUGGACUUUCACUAAGUAAUUAUUAAUUGACCUUCUGUGUCUAUGUAAAAUGAAGCAGAAUACUCCUUCUGCUCACUCAUCCUGUAGCUAAGGAACAACAAAAGGUGUUUGGCAACUUUGGUGCCAACCUUUGGUGGCCCUUCUUAACCUGUCCAGGAAGCUCCCAGGGCUUUAUCUUCUUCAUAACUGACAUGUUUGACUUCCCAGUGCUUUACAAAUGAUUCUUGUCUUCAGCAAAUAAGUUUAACUUUGAACAUAAAUGUAUUCAAUAUAUAUUGUUAUCAAGCUGAUUAAAGACCUUUACUCAACACAGCACGUAUAAUUCUGAGUUAAUAAUGCCUGUUAAUUUAUGCUAGAUUAUCAACAAUUUAUCAAUAAACAGUCCAGAGAAGUAGGGAAGACUACUCUAUUUGCAGUUGUUUGUUAAAUAUUUUGUUGUACCUCAAAUGUACUUCAGAUCAUGAUAAAACUGCCCAUUUUGUUGAAUUAACUUCACUAAUUUGCUGCAUUUUAAAAGUUUUUAGGAAAAGUAAAUUGGCAUCUGGAAUGUGGGUGUUUACACCAUUCACUGUUUCAGCAUAACAGAAACUGCAGCAACAUAUCUCAAUUUUCCCUGCCCUAGAUUCAGGAAAUGAUGCAAGUUAAUUUCUGUUGUAAGUGCUCAGGAAUAUGUCAACCUGAUGAAGGAUAUUUUCUGGAUCUGAAAUACUGACACAUCUGGCUCGAUAUACAGGUGAGAGUUCCUAAAAUAAAGCUACUUUAAAUAUAUAUUUUGCUUAAAAUGGCUGAGACUUGCUUAGAAUAAUUCCAGUUCUCCUCAAGCUUAAAUGAGACACCCACAUACCAGACCAUUCCAUCUCCUAUUUUAAUGAGAUCCAAAUCUGUCCGGGAUUGUCAACAGGCAUUACAGUGUAGAUUUUUUGAGGACUUGCAAAUCCAAGAGAGGUUAAAUUUCUAUAGACUAAAGCAACAUUAAUCAUACAACGUUGGCCAUAAACAUUGAACGGUACUCAACACCAGAAAGUGCAG
ensembl:lncRNA